CUGAAUGAAGAUCUCCGCCAAUC
rnacentral:miRNA from 9 species